GGUUUUAUGCCUCUGGCUGGCAAAAAGGAAAAAGAUACACUUACAAUGUUGUCACGCAAAAGCAAAGAACUGUGCCUUUGUACAGGAGUGUGACUCAUUAUUUCUCAGUGUGACACUUCAUUUGCUUGAUUGUUUUUGUUGCUAUUCUGUGGUUUUUGCUUAUUAAAAGACCACCUCUCCUGCUGAGGUUUGCUUGCCGGUUUUCACGUCCAUUUCUCCUUCCUCCCCACGUGUUCCAGGUUUUAGGAGUACUUCAACUGUGGCGAUGGCACAGUUGCUUUACAAUGAGUGUAUGAAAGAGAGCAGAGCUGUUUUCUGUUUGCUGUCUCAAGACUGGGGUUGCCUCAUAUGUCAUCGCAAAGCUUAUCAGUUAGCAGAAGAUGUUCAUAUGCUUAAUAUGUCUUUGAGAAAAGUGUCAGAGACUAGAUGUGGGAGAGGGCGAGCCAAAGAUAUUUCCAGUUCCUUGAGAUAAGUUACAGUAGGAAUCACCAGCUCACAGGCUGGGGUUUGGAUCUGGCCCAGCAGGCAGCUUUGGCUCUGAAAAUGCCAAAAUGGGGUAUUAAUUUCUGUGUGUGUGUGUGUGUACAUGCAUGUGUUUCUUUGAUGAGCCAGCCCUUGGGUUUGGGAGGGUUUAUUGUGUUAGGUGUGGAGCAAGCACACUCAACUGUGUGUCUUGCUUGGACACCUGGCUGGGAAUAGACAUUGCCUCCAAGCACGAAGGAAUCAGCCAACAUCAGCCCUGGAGUAUGUGGGAGUGGGAAUUUGGUCGUAGGGUGUUGCAUUUAGCAAAGCAUUGUUGAUUCUUAUUUUCUCUCCCUUUUUUUGUGAACUUCCUUGCAUUUCUGAUACUUAUUCGCUCCAGAGGCAGUCCACCUCUGUAUCAGUGGGACUGCAAAUGGCUGCUAUUUUGUUUUUUUCUGUGGGCAUGGAGGUGCAGGAGGACGAGUGAUAGGGAGCUGGGGCAACAGCUUCACCACAGUGUCAUUUGGGGGCCUCAUGGAAGGAUUUUCCUUACAGGGCCUCUGCAAAUAUGUUGGAAAUGGGCCCUGAGCCUUUGGCUGGGGUUUAGCUUUUCCACAGCAGAGACUGCAGUAACACUAGUCAUUGAUCCAGAGACGUGCAGCCCGGGAUUUUUCAGGGGGUACAUAAACUCUCCCGUCUUGUAAACUGAGUUAGAGGUGUUUUGCUAAUGAUCUUUUUAGUUCAAAUGCAGUGUCUGUAUGUUACUGAAAAUGUGUUGAAAUACCAUCAGAUUCCUCUGCUCUUUUCAGGGUCUGUGAGCUGCUCUGUUGGUUGCAGGGUCUGGGUAUGUAUUUGCUGUUGAGAAGUUCAUAGACUCAAAAAAAUCUCUUGGAGCCUUGGCUGAUCAGUGUUUUUGAGCCCAGAGUCCUUUUGGUAAAAUGUUGUAUUUAAUGUCAUAUUCUUGCAGAAUGUCAAUAGUGAAGUUAGAGUUAUGAAAAGAGCUUCUCUUUCCUGCUGUUUGAAGCAGGUUAUUUAAAUGAGAGAGACAGAACAACAAAGAGCUGUGUGAGAAGAUUAUAGGUGCUGUAGUGAUGCUGGCAUCUUGUCUUGGGGUAUUUGGGGUGGUGUUUGGUGUCCUGCAGGGGAGAGUGUAGGUACUGAAGGGGGAUAUCCAGGUUGUGUGGUACUACCCAGGGAGCAGCAUUUUGUUGUGGUGAGAAAACUGCAGAGCAUGAAAGCAGCCUCUGCAUAUGUACAUGUGUGUGGGGCACUGUUGUUAUGCCUUACAUGUGUGACAGCAGGAAACAUGGGUUAACCCUUGUGAGCUUUGAUACAGUAUGUGCGUUUGGCAGCAGCGAACAGCAGGAUUUUCCAUGUGAAGCUAUGGAGCCCUUUGAGCAGGAGCCUGGACUAGGUAGGGGCUGAAUUAUGACCUGAAUUUUGUGUGAUUCUGACCGUGGCUGGUUACUCAUGGUUUUAGUGCACUGAAGACUGUUCAUAUGGAUCUUUAAUUAGGUAGAUUAUAGUGGAAGUAUAGCAUAGGCUUUAAUCAUACCUGUAUUUACUGUAUAAAAAAAAAAAAAAAAGGUAUGAAUUUAUUUACUGUGCGUGUUGACGCGAUGUGAUUUCUGCCCAGUGCUCUGAAUGUCAAAGUGAAGAAAUUCAAUGAAGCACGGGUAAACGGCGGGAGUAACUAUGACUCUUUUAAGGUAGCCAAAUGCCUCGUCAUCUAAUUAGUGAUGCGCAUGAAUGGAUAAACGAGAUUCCCACUGUUCCUACCUACUAUCCAGCGAAACCACAGCCAAGGGAAUGGGCUUGGUGGAAUCAGUGGGGAAAGAAGACCCUGUUGAGCUUGACUCUAGUCUGGUGCUGUGAAGGAGACAUGAGAGGUGUAGAAUAAGUGGGAGGCCAGGCGUGCGCUUGGCGGCACGGGGCGACCCGCCCGCCGGCGUCCUGGCUGUCGGUGAAAUACCACUACUCUGAUCGUUUUUUCACUUACCUGGUGAGGCGGGGGGGCGAGCCCUGAGGGGGGCUCUCGCUUCUGGCGCCAAGUGGCCGGUGCAUGCCAGGCACGACCUGCUCUGGGGACAGCAGCAGGUGGGCAGUUUGACUGGGGCGGUACACCUGUCAAAGUGUAACGCGGGUGUCCUGAGGCGAGCUCAGGGAGGACGGAAACCUCCCGCGGAGUAGAAGGGCAAAAGCUCACUUGAUCUUGAUUUUCAGUACGAAUACAGACCGUAAAGUGGGGCCUCACGAUCCUUCUGGCUUUUUGGGAUUUAAGCAGGUGUCAGAAAAGUUACCACAGGGAUAACUGGCUUGUGGCGGUGAAGCGUUCAUAGCGACGUCGCUUUUUGAUCCUUCGAUGUCGGCUCUUCCUGUCAUUGUGAAGCAGAAUUCACCAAGCGUUGGAUUGUUCACCCACUAAUAGGGAACGUGAGCUGGGAUUAGACCAUCGUGAGACAGGUUAGUUUUACCCUGCUGAUGAUGUGUUGUUGCAAUAGUAAUCCUGCUCAGUACGAGAGGAACAGCAGGUUCAGACCCCUGGUGCGUUUGCUUGGCUGAGGAGCCACUGGCGCGAGGCUACCAUCUGCGGGCUUAUGACUGAACGCCUCUAAGUCAGAAUCCCACCUAGACGCUUGAUGUUGUGCUAUUGCGUCAUUGGCCGCUCGAGAUUGACCCAGGAGAUGACCGUCUUGUUCAGAAUACGUGGGUAAAACCCUUUCCAAAUCUUCGCUAGUGAAGACAUGCCUUCCUCAUAGGAGAAGGAAAACUCCU
rnacentral:rRNA from 1 species